rnacentral:rRNA from 1 species
AAGGCCCAGACAGCCAGGAUGUUGGCUUAGAAGCAGCCAUCAUUUAAAGAAAGCGUAAUAGCUCACUGGUCGAGUCGGCCUGCGCGGAAGAUGUAACGGGGCUAAACCAUGCACCGAAGCUGCGGCAGCGACACUAUGUGUUGUUGGGUAGGGGAGCGUUCUGUAAGCCUGUGAAGGUGUACUGUGAGGUAUGCUGGAGGUAUCAGAAGUGCGAAUGCUGACAUAAGUAACGAUAAAGCGGGUGAAAAGCCCGCUCGCCGGAAGACCAAGGGUUCCUGUCCAACGUUAAUCGGGGCAGGGUGAGUCGACCCCUAAGGCGAGGCCGAAAGGCGUAGUCGAUGGGAAACAGGUUAAUAUUCCUGUACUUGGUGUUACUGCGAAGGGGGGACGGAGAAGGCUAUGUUGGCCGGGCGACGGUUGUCCCGGUUUAAGCGUGUAGGCUGGUUUUCCAG